UUGUAGCAGUCGGUCCGCCGGAGAGGUGGAUUGGUCUCGGCUGCGCUGGCUGGUGGAGAAAGCACACGCACCUGGGUUGCGUUAGCUAAUCAGGGAGCUAACACUGAGAGCGCAGUUAUGAUUUUCGGUUUUAUUUGGAGCUCUGAAAAGAAAGGAAUCCUCAGCUGGGAUGCUGGAGGAGCUGGACCUGGCUGGGAAGGAAAAAAUUGCCACAUAUGGUUUUGGGAUUAAGGAAGCCUGGAAGGUGGUGGGGGACAUUGGUUUUAAAAUCGUCAGCAGUUGCUGGAGCCAGUCACUAAAGCUUCCAAAUCCAAACAUUGCUCACCUGCAUAUUCAGCAGGAGGGACUGAGCAGGGUCUUUCAUAAGAUCAAAGAGAAGGAUGAAACCAAAAGAAAAGUGCAGAAAUACAGAAAGGAAAGGAGAUGAAGGGGGGGAUAUAGAAAAGAAGACGAGAAACAGAAACCAUCUGAAAAAAAAAACACGAAAGAGAGAGAGUGAGAAACAAAGGAACAAGUGAGGAGGCAAAGGCAGAGGCCCAACCGACUUUGGCAGAAAGGCCUUUCUCCCCAGGGGGACAGAGGAAGUGAAGAAUCCGUCUGAGCUGAAAGGUGAACCGGAGGAGGAACCCCGCCCCUCGGCACCGUCUGCUCCUCUGCGUCUGGCUGCUUCUCCCUCGCCGGGAACAGACGAGGACAGAGAGCCGCCGCUGAUCCUUCAGGAACAGCCGAAGGACGGGGUCAGAGGGGCAGAGGGCGGGGCCCAGGAGUACCUUCCGUCUCACCCAAAUCCUCAGCCCCAGACAGCCGGCGGUGUCUGUCACUUCCGCGAGCGCGGGGCCUACCGAGCGCCGAGACGCAGCUGUCAUCGUUCAGCGUGCGACCCGCCUGUCAGGACCUGCAGAGAGCACAGGCGAGCACAGCCUCCGCCUCAGCUGUGUAGGGGCUCUGUGCCAUACGCAGUUCAGCCGGGCUCCUUAAAUCCCCUCACCGCGCACUGACAUUGCUGCAGUGUUCAGCGUGUUUAAAAUGAUCACCUCCAACGCUUAAUAUUGACUGCGUUUAUUGUAUUAUAUUAGGUCAAAAUGAAGAUAGUAUGAUCAAAAGGGAAUAAUAUUUUAACAUUUUAUAUUAUCCCCUUUUGAUGAAUAUUAUAUAUUAUUCUUAAUAUUAGGUGCAUCAAACUCAAACUGCUGUAUUCUUUUAGGUGAAAGAGAUGAUAAAGAUGA